rnacentral:rRNA from 1 species
UACAGAGGUCUCAAGCGUUGUUCGGAUUCAUUGGGCGUAAAGGGUGCGUAGGUGGCGCCGUAAGUCAGGUGUGAAAUUUCGGAGCUUAACUCCGAAACUGCAUUUGAUACUGCGGUGCUUGAGGACUGGAGAGGAGACUGGAAUUUACGGUGUAGCAGUGAAAUGCGUAGAGAUCGUAAGGAAGACCAGUGGCGAAGGCGGGUCUCUGGGCCGUAACUGACGCUGAGGAGCGAAAGCGUGGGGAGCGAACAGG